rnacentral:rRNA from 1 species
GACAGAGGGUGCAAACGUUGCUCGGAAUUACUGGGCGUAAAGCGCGUGUAGGCGGGCUGGCGUGUCGGGUGUGAAAUCCCUGAGCUCAACUCAGGAACUGCAUUCGAAACUACCGGUCUAGAGUGGUGGAGAGGGAAGUGGAAUUCCUGGUGUAGAGGUGAAAUUCGUAGAUAUCAGGAGGAACACCAGUGGCGAAGGCGGCUUCCUGGACACCAACUGACGCUGAGACGCGAAAGCGUGGGGAGCAAACAGG